UUAACUCAAAUUUGAAUGGAGUUGGAACAGCGCCUCUAGCGGCAAACGUUCCAACUCCAUACAAAUUUGAGUUA
rnacentral:pre_miRNA from 1 species